ACUAAAUUAAAGUUAAAAUGCAUGGUUUUCACUUAUAAAGUGAUUAAUCAAUUUUGUAUCUAUUAUAUCAAAUGCGAAAAAAAAUAUGGCUGAAAUUUUCAAAUUCUUUUAUGCUUUGAUCAUCUUCAUUUCUCUAAUUCUUUCGGUAGCCAACGCAGAUCCUAUGUACUGCUUUAAUGACGAUGAUUGUCGAGAGCUGAAAUGUAGCCAUCCUCGUGUUCGGAAGUGUCGUAUGUUUUUGUGUCGCUGCGAGGAAGUCGACAAGGAAGAUGAAAAAUGAUUAUUUUUUUUCCAAGUGUAUACUUUUUUGUAUGACAAGAUCUUGGUACUUAAAAGAAUAAAUAUUAGUAUGUGCUUAUUGAAUUUUCGGAAAGAGAAAAAUCUAAACUAUUCAUUUUAUAGGUAAAUGGUAGAAAUUAAUUUUUUAUACUAAUAUUUUUCUCUUUUA